rnacentral:lncRNA from 1 species
GUUAGAAAGAGCAAUGAAUUUAUAGAAUGAUAUUGUUCAAGACAGUGCUUCCUCUUUGUCAAGUACCAAAAAUAAUCUAGUGACUUUAUCUAUGAGAGAUUUUGCUGCCCUUCUCCAUGGAUUAGCUUUAUGUAAAAAAAAAUUGAACUUGAUAUCCUGAGUACUUCAGAAUUAUGGUUCUGGAAACCAAGUCCAGGUAGUUCUGACGUGUAUCAAUUUCAGUUUCUGAUUAUUCAUUUAUCCACAUGAAUCUAGAAACCUGGCAUGUAUCUGCGUUGGUAAUCCUACAUAUCUUUGAGCUAUUGAGGACUUGAAACUUGAGAAGCUAGCAAGUUGGCUCUUCUAUGUUUAAACAUUCUGUACAAAUGUAGUUACAACAGCUAAGGAAAUUUUGCUGCUAUCAUUAAUAUAAUAUACUUGCCGAUAAUUUUCGCCAGUAGCUGUUCACAGGCUUUCUUAUUUCCUUUAUUGAAGUACUCGCUGUUUCUUUUCUCUCCAGGAAGAAGCGAAACUGUGGGCAGUGGCAGUCAUGGAGUACUUAUUUUGAAAUUGUUUUGGUGUUAUUUAAACAUGAUACUAAACUGCAAUGUCUUUCAUCUAGUAAUCUAGUUCCAAAUAAAUACUACGUCUGACAUGGUGAUUGUCCAUCUGACGUCUGUUUUACAAUGUUUAUUCUAAAAAAACGUCUUGGUGUUUUGAUCCUUCAUCGGUGAUUACUAGUUCGAAUUUAAUGGGAGUUUAUUAUCUUAACUUUGUGAAGCCUAGAUAAUGUCAUACUUACAGAUUCUACUUGUAGAAAAUUGACUUCUGUUUUGGCAAAAGCCAAGCAGAAUCAUACUAUCGCAUGCAUGUUCUUCUAACCCAGAAAGCAACUUGUUUAG